UGGGAGCGGAACCCGCUGGAGGGGCUCGAGUAGCUCGUCCUGGUGUCCAUCACCCUCCGGUAGGGGCUUCCUAUAGCGUCUAUCGGAUAACUCAUCCGGACGGACGGGGUGUGAACGUGCAGAUGAACAGAAGAGUGAGUUCCCUGUGACGGAGCGGCCAGGCUCUCACCCACCACCCAACCACAUCCGUUUCAGGAACUCCUGGACUCACUAAGGCGCUCCAUCCAUCAGUUUCACCGUCACCAUCACCCACACCAUCAGGACCUACACUGAAACAGACAUGUCAAACAUGUUGGGAAGGAUAUGGACACAAGGAAUGUCCAGAGCACCUGUCACCCAGUCAGUCAAGUUCUCCAAGUGUCUCCUGUGUCUCUCCCAGUCCCCGAGUAUCUCUGGUGAUUCUUCCAGUGCUCCGUGUAUCUCCGGCGAUCUCCUGUGCAGACUGUGCUCCUCAAAUCGUUCCUGAAAGGCAAAGAAACCCUGGUGAAACCUUCUGCUGUUUAGAUACUCACACGUCUCAAGUCCAGUCUUCAUUUCCUCACGUGUGUCAAUAAACGUGUGUGAAUAUAUAUUUUACCUACCUUCUGUGUAAAGUCCAUUCGGUUACAUUCCCUUUUAUAUACAUUUUUUUCCGAUUAAUAACUUUUUUCAAUAAUAUUUUUCAUGUAUUUUUUUCUCCAUGCCAUCCUAAUUUUAAUUACUUGUGAAUGCAGUAAUUUUGCCAUUGCUUUACUUUUUAAUAUAUUUUACUUGUGUUUCAUUUAUUACAUGCAUCUGUCUCGUAUUGCACUGUAUGCAAAUGGUUAAUGGAUCCCACAGAGGUGAAAGAGGUCACUGAAAAUCAUCAAUAAGCAAUUAAAUGCUCAUUAACUGUUGACUUAGAGUUGUCAGUUGCAGUCUUUUCACAGCAGUACUGAAGUGUUAAUACAACCUCUUCUCUCUCUCUCUCUCUCUCUCUCUCUCUCUCGAAUUUAAUCCGUUUUAUCUCCUCUUUUACAUUCAGUGGUUCCACUGGGCCUCAUUUGUUCACCAUCUAGCAUUACUCCCUCUCCUCAAAUUCACAGCCAACGCCCAGCUUCUGCAGUACUGCAGUCUCUCCUUUUCCAAAAGUCUCACCCCUCCUCUUGAUCACUCUCUAGUUAUCUGCAGUGAGGAGGAGGGAGAGGAGGAGAGAUGCCGUGAGGAAGAGCACACCUCACGACUCGCGCUGCUGCUGCUGCUGCAACACACCCAAGGAUCACACGACGGCCUGGCAGUUCAUCACAAUUCAUUCCAUCGACAGUCACUUCGGCUCGCAGAGUCUACGUUUGCUCAUAACUCUCUCUCUCUCUCUCUUUCUUGCAUGACUGUCCUCCCUCAGGCCCCUCAUUAAUCAGAGCUCUCUAACCCGUUGCCCUCUCACAGGAGAGACAGCAUCAAGACCUUGGUUCUUCAAGCUUCUUCAAAACUCUUGGGAGGUCCUCUGUAAGCUGGCCCAUAACAUUGCAACAGAUUUGUCCGAUCUAAUCCUUACUAACUUGCAUAAAACAUUAAACAAGACUAAACUGCCUUUUGCUGCAUAGAAAAUAGCAUUUUAAUAAUUCUAUCCCGUUUGGUAUAAGAAGAAUGCCUUGAUUUUGUUUUGAGUUACUGAAGGUUUAACUUACAUGAAACUUUGAAUAAGGCUGAACUGCAUCUUCCUGCAAAUGAUUCAUAAUACAUUACUUAUUUAUAUAAUGUAAAAAGAUAUAAUCUGUGACGUUUUUCUAUAAGGUAUCAUUUGUUAACAUUAGUUCAUGUGUUACCUAACAUGACUGAACAAUGAACAAUACAUUUAUUACUCUAUAAUAGUAAUAAACUAGUAAUCUAGUUACAUAAUAAAAAAAUAGAUUUGUUUAUUUUUUGUUCAUGGUAGUUCACAGUGCAUUAACUAAUUAUUAAUGUUAACUAAUUAUGUCAAUUAAUUAGUAAAUGCUGAAAUAAGCAUAUUAUUGUUCAUUCUCAGUUCAUCUUAACUAAUGAACCUUAUUUUAAAAUUAUCAUAUAAUCGAAUCCAGAAUAUAUUAAA